rnacentral:rRNA from 1 species
AUUAACCGCUGGCGCCAUGCCUUACACAUGCAAGUCGACCGGUAACAGGUCUGCGGAUACUGACGAGUGGAGAACGGGUGAGUAAUACAUCGGAACGUGCCCAAUCGUGGGGGAUAGCGCAGCGAAAGCAGUGCUAAUACCGCAUAGGAUCUACUGAUGAAAGCGGAGGAGCGGAAGACCUCGCGCGAAUCGAGCGGCCGAGGGCGGAUUAGGUAGUUGGGGGGGUAAAAGCCCACCAAGCCGACGAUCCGUAGCUGGUCUGAGAGGACGACCAGCCACACUGGAACUGAGACACGGCCCAGACUCCUACGGGAGGCAGCAGUGGGGAAUUUUGGACAAUGGGCGCAAGCCUGAUCCAGCAAUGCCGCGUGCAGGAUGAAGGCCUUCGGGUUGUAAACUGCUUUUGUACGGAGCGAAAAGGUCUCUUCUAAUACAGGAGGCCCAUGACGGUACCGUAAGAAUAAGCACCGGCUAACUACGUGCCAGCCGCCGCCGUAA